CAGUCGAACGGCAGCACAGGAGAGCUUGCUCUCUGGGUGGCGAGUGGCGGACGGGUGAGGAAUACAUCGGAAUCUACCUUUUCGUGGGGGAUAACGUAGGGAAACUUACGCUAAUACCGCAUACGACCUUCGGGUGAAAGCAGGGGACCUUCGGGCCUUGCGCGGAUAGAUGAGCCGAUGUCGGAUUAGCUAGUUGGCGGGGUAAAGGCCCACCAAGGCGACGAUCCGUAGCUGGUCUGAGAGGAUGAUCAGCCACACUGGAACUGAGACACGGUCCAGACUCCUACGGGAGGCAGCAGUGGGGAAUAUUGGACAAUGGGCGCAAGCCUGAUCCAGCCAUACCGCGUGGGUGAAGAAGGCCUUCGGGUUGUAAAGCCCUUUUGUUGGGAAAGAAAAGCAGUCGAUUAAUACUCGGUUGUUCUGACGGUACCCAAAGAAUAAGCACCGGCUAACUUCGUGCCAGCAGCCGCGGUAAUACGAAGGGUGCAAGCGUUACUCGGAAUUACUGGGCGUAAAGCGUGCGUAGGUGGUUGUUUAAGUCUGUUGUGAAAGCCCUGGGCUCAACCUGGGAAUUGCAGUGGAUACUGGGCGACUAGAGUGUGGUAGAGGGUAGUGGAAUUCCUGGUGUAGCAGUGAAAUGCGUAGAGAUCAGGAGGAACAUCCAUG
rnacentral:rRNA from 1 species